rnacentral:rRNA from 1 species
UACGUAGGGUGCAAGCGUUGUCCGGAAUUAUUGGGCGUAAAGAGCUUGUAGGCGGUUUGUCGCGUCUGCUGUGAAAUUUCGGGGCUCAACCCCGAACUUGCAGUGGGUACGGGCAGACUAGAGUGUGGUAGGGGAGACUGGAAUUCCUGGUGUAGCGGUGAAAUGCGCAGAUAUCAGGAAGAACACCCGUGGCGAAGGCGGCUCUCUGGUACGUGACUGACGCUGAGACGCGAAAGCGUGGGGAGCGAACAGG